rnacentral:lncRNA from 1 species
AAUAAAAUGCAAAGAAAGUCAAAAUAAAAAUGCUCUUAUUAGUAAAUCACAACCGAAAUGAAUGACAGACGGACAUUUUUUACAAAACUUAAUGAACAAUUGAAAUCAAGAUAUUUGAGGUUUGCGUUAUUUCGCAAAGGUUUGCGUUAUAACGCAAGGGUUUGCGUUACAACGCAAAGGUCUGCGUUACAACGCAAAGGUCUGCG